UGAGCCAGAAUUUGACUACUUGAAAAGCU
rnacentral:piRNA from 2 species